CCUGCCGAUUCUUGCACAGUUGUUCUAUAUUUGGAUGUAGCUGGUAAGCUUAAGUCGGAGAUUGUCACAUACAUCGAGUCGAUUUCGGUACUUUGUUUUUAUUCGAGUUAGUGAUGAAAACCCUUUCUCACACAGAUACGUAGAUCCCUCUUUUGUUGCUGAGAGUAGAGUGGGUAGUCAGUAGGCGGAUAGGGUAAUAAAUUUCAUAAAAUGUCAGUACUGGAAGAAAAAGUGAAAGACGAUUACCAUGUGUAAUUUCCAAACUCUGAGAUUUCCAGCUAUAGUGUGAUACGCAAUUCAUUUUAAUUUUAUUUGUCCUUCUGUCUUUUUUUGAAGGACCACAAGGGCACACAUAGUUUGAUAAACUAUAGACCAUAGACCGCUAUAGACGGCAAUUCUUGCAGUGCAUUUAUUUUCCGUUGUAGCCACAGGAUGGCAGCUCAAUUAUUGAACUUGCUUUUGCGUGACGAGAUGCAAUUCUUACGGACUUAAUAAAGUCUGCGUCUUGUGUUUCUGAAGAGGAUGUGUGUUGGGCUAUAACGCCGUGCUAUCUGUCGAAAUUCAACUGACGUAUCGGAGGAACAUGCCGCCACCAUUUUCUGCGUUGAAAAGUAAGCCGAGCAAGGAACCAACGCGAAGAAGGGAGAUGAUAAAAUUCUUCAUUGCUGCUUCAUGCUUAGAUUAUUCUUCAACCCUGAAGAUGAAAAAGGCGCAUAUACUUGUGAAUAUCAGCGUUUCCAUCUUCCAUCCUUGAAUCUUAUUACCCUAAUACAAAUUAUGAAGCUUUUCAUUAUGCAAGUUUAUUCAUCCUGUCAUUUUCACCCCCUUUGGGCCAAAUAUUCUCCUCAGCACCUUGUUCUCACAUCACCCUCAGUCUGUGUUCUUACUGUUGUAGACAGAGUGGUUUUGUAUAUUUUAAUCUUCACAUUCUUAGUCUGUUGGGAAGACAAAAGAUUCUGAUAUUGAUGUUGGUAUUCCUUGAAUUUUAAAUCAACAGUACAAUAUAUGAAAAUGGCUAUACAGAAUCAGUUGGUCAGAAUUGCUAAGAAAUUUGUGUAGGUUUCCACACAUUUUUACUUUCACAUAUCACUGAUAAGGACUUGCAUGACAGUACAUAGGCAGCUUAAUGAUCCUUUAAGGAUGCAGAGCAGUUUUAUUUUAGAAUGUCAGCAACAAACCAGAAUUGUAUUUAUGAAGAAAUUAAAUUCAGGGCAAUGCUUGUUGCUAUUCAGCAGAAUCCUUCAUUCCCAACUACUGUCUAAAUUACAAAACUAUAAUUUUGCCGGGUUUUUUUAUGGGUAUGAAAUGUAGUCUCUCACAUAGGGGAAGAAUGCAGACUGUUGGUGUUUGAGAACAGGGUUCUGAGUGGAAAAUUGAGACUUUACAGGGAUUAAAAUAUACAGGCUGCACAAAACUACAUAAUUUGGAGCUUUUUAAUACCUCACAAAUAGUAUCACAAUGAUCAACUAAAGAAGAUGGAUGGGGCAUUAGCACACAAAGGACAUAAGAGAAAUGUACGCAGGAUCUUGGAAGGUAAACAUGAAGGAAAGACAUCAGGUUGGAGAUGUGGGUGUGGACUAGAUUCAUCUGACUUAGGGAAGCAAUCACCAGUGAGCUUUUGUGAACAUGGUAAUGAACCUUUAGGCUCCAUAAAAUUCUGGAAAUCUCUCAUCAGCUGUGCAACUAUUAGCUCCUCAAGGAUUCUGCUUUGUGGAGUUUGUCAUGACUCACCUGUUCUAACAACAUAAGACCUAUAUUAAAAAUCAUUUUUAAAAAUUACACUUCUGUAGUUUCACUGAGACAUUAUGCUACAUUCUCUUGUUGGCAUACAGCACAGUACAGAGAGAAUUUCUUGAAGGGCAGUUAAGCAUUCUUUAAAGAAAAGUCACUCCAUUAACUCUACAUGACAAUACUUUUUAUUGUAGAUAACCCAUGUGGAACAAAGAUAAAAUUCUUGUAUAAAGUAUAAAAGAGAAUAAUAUUCAGUUUAAAAGCAAUAAAAUUCUGUUAUCACACAAGACAGUGAAACCAUGAAUAAAAUUCUGGAAAUGAGGCAACAUAUUUCAUUGGAUUCACAAGGUUUCUUUCUUCAAAAUGUUCUGUUCAGUAAAAUAUACUCUGGUGGUGAUAUGAAAAUACCAGCUGGCUUGCUACAAGAUCUCUCUACCUCCAUUUUUACAGAUAACUUCCAGGAUCAUGUAAUUAAAUUAGUGAUUUAUUAAAACUGACCAAUGAGUGGUUACCUUGUACAAGUCACAACAUUCACCCACACUGCUAUUAGACCCGCAGAAAGCUGUUAGCAGUGACUUAUGCAGAAAUAUGUUUAAACAUUUAAGAAAUCGUUUUGUCCAGUAUUCAUUUUAGUUUCCAUCUCUAGGCUUGAGGCUAGGAAAUUGGCUGAUGCACCAGUCAUCACUGUGUGGUACCAAAGAAAUAGGUAACAGAACAAUGGUCAAACAGUGUGUAUAUUCAUUGCCAUAACAAAGAAAUUUAAUGAUUUUGAUACAAGUUCAUGGAACAGAUAACUUCAAUAAAAAUAAACCUGAACAUACUUGUUGUUAUCUCUUGUGGCCUGUGUAUAAUGUGUAACCACAUCAUAACAUAAUGGCCAAACCUCAAAAGGCCAGGGCUGUGUAAAUGAUUUCAACAUUGAUACAUCAUGUACCUACAUAAUUGUUAAGCGUCCAUACUGCACUUCUUAGCAUGUAUAAGCAUUAUAGGAGUGUUCCUUGAAUUUAACAAGACCAUUUCAAGCCACCAGCCCAAAAGCAAGCAGCAUUCUUUAGUAAUUACAAACCAAGCAGAAAGAGUAUAGGAUUUUGAAAAGGACUUGCCAAAUUAACGAAUUAUGAUGUUCCUGCAAGUUGUAAAGCAGACAUGUGAAACAGUUUUUGUUAAAAUUCCACACAGGAAAUGGUGCAGGAAAUAAAUUAUGAAAUGAUUAGUAACACAUGGGGGCACUGUCAUAUAAAACGGGUAAGGUCUGGCCUUGCUGAACCACAGUAGGUUUUUCUCGUUUAUACUGGUAGAGGAGUCAUGGCUGCCAACGUUUCGACACUCGUGACAAACGUAAACAUACUGAAAACCCCAAAUCAUAAAGCAA